rnacentral:rRNA from 1 species
CCUACGGGUGGCAGCAGUGAGGAAUAUUGGUCAAUGGACGAGAGUCUGAACCAGCCAAGUAGCGUGACGGAUGACUGCCCUAUGGGUUGUAAACUUCUUUUAUAUUGGAAUAAAAUGUUCCACGUGUGGGCUUUUGUAUGUACCAUAUGAAUAAGGAUCGGCUAACUCCGUGCCAGCAGCCGCGGUAAUACGGAGGAUCCGAGCAUUAACCGGAUUUAUUGGGUUUAAAGGGAGCGUAGGUGGAAUUUUAAGUCAGUUGUGAAAGUUUGCGGCUCAACCGUAAAAUUGCAGUUGAAACUGGCAGGCGUGAGUACAGUAGAGGUGGGCGGAAUGCGUGGUGUAGCGGUGAAAUGCUUAGAUAUCACGAAGAACUCCGAUUGCGAAGGCAGUGCACUGGACUGCAACUGACGCUGAGGCUCGAAAGUGUGGGUAUCAAACAGGAUUAGAUACCCGGGUAGUC